CAGCGCCACGAGUGGCAAUCGUGUAUUUGGCCUAAAGCGUCCGUAGCCGGAUUUGUAAAUCUUUUGUGAAAUCGUUGAGCUCAACUUAACGGCGUGCAGAAGACACUGCGAGUCUUGAGACCGGGAGGAGAUAGAGGUAUUCUAGGGGGAGCGGUAAAAUGCUAUAAUCCCUGGAGGACCACCAGUGGCGAAGGCGUCUAUCCAGAACGGAUCUAACGGUGAGGGACGAAAGCCAGGGGAGCGAACCGGAUUAGAUACCCGAGUAGUCC
rnacentral:rRNA from 1 species